rfam:Nitrospirae bacterium GWC2_57_9 gwc2_scaffold_6901, whole genome shotgun sequence.
UAACGAUAAUACUCAACCAUCCGUGAGGAUGGGGCGGAAAGCCUUCAGGAUCUCGUUGAGACAGCCGGGUUGCCGAA